ensembl:lncRNA
GAUUCUGAUGACAAAUGAAAGGACUUCCUCUUUGCCAUAGACACUGGUCCCUCCCUGCAGUCUGUGUAUAAAGCCCUGGCUCCAUUCACUUGACUGACAACAGAGACACAGAACUUCGGGAGUGACACCACACCACCUGUAAGCAGAGUUCUUGUCUGGACACGCUAUGGCUCCAAUUGCGAUGGUUUUGGGGGAAGUGAUGAGCCCUGAAGUUGGCAUCAUCGCUGCUGUUGUGUUCCUGGUGCUCAGUAUCACAGGGUUAGCUCUGUGUGGGCAGUGUCGAAGGCUGGGAAAGGUACAACAGCAAAUGGGCACAGUGACACAAGGACAGGAGACAUCCCUGACUCCGUAACUUACACAACAUGGAGGGAUCACAAAAACAUGCCAGAGAGCACACUGGAGCGAAAUAAGGCGUACACCCAGUAGCACCCUCCAGCCCAGACUCAGAGCAUGUGGAGAACAGUGAGGACUUUCCACUCCGCAUGGGCCCAGCAGAUGGACAGAACCAUGGAAAAACAGAGAGAGAAAAGGAGGAGAAGUGGCUCUGACUGCGCCGGGCUACAAACCAACCACACCUUCACUCACUGUCAACAACUCUCACUACACUGAACCUGACCCAAGACACAACAAAAAGACUGCUUUCAACAAGAGAAGCAUGCAUGUUUAUUGUAUUACAGUUGUAUUGUCUAGUUUGUACGGUGGGCCCCUAAAGGUGCACUAUGUCACUUUCCUGGUGGAGGGUCAGCCACCUACCUUUCUCCAUGGAGGUGUUAUUGCUUUGUCUAGAAUGUUUCACUGAACUUGUUGAUCUGCAUGAUCUGCAUCAGUUACUGGUCAGAUCUGUGGAGCGGCGACCCUGCACAUAGUAAGAAUGCAGGUUAUUCCAGACCCUCCACCAGAAAGGAUACAGAGUGCACCUUUUACGUCAAAUAGGUACUUUUUCCAAGGUUUUUCAACAUAAGAUGUCUUACUUUUCAACCCCAAAGAGUUAUUUAUGCUCAUUUUAACACAGCACUCUGCAAUGCCCUGAUUAAAAUUUUAAGCUUUAACAGUCUAAUGUAUAUUCUGAAAAAUGCACUGCUAUGUUAAAAGACCCUCAUCGGAAUCCAGUGAGCUGCUGAUUGACUUUAGUGUCUGAGACGUGUUGGAUUUGUAGGACACUUUAUCAUUUUUUGGCACAGUUUACUGUUUUGAACCUCCCCCAUUUUGGAGCAAAUAUUGAUUACAUUGGAUCUGCAAUUGGCUAAGAAAACUCAUGCUACCUUUAAACCCACUUAUGAAUGAAAUACAAAACCUGACUUCUGUGUCUACACCUCAACUGCUAAACUGUGAUGUUUUCAGAUAAAUGCGACAACACACAAGUUGUAGCCAACCAGAGUUAUAUUUCUAUUUAAAUUAUUUCUUUAUAUUAGUAUAUCAUGAAUUUCAACAGCAGAAUAUGGUCUUUUGAGACAGUAGUUUUGUGUAAUGAUGCUUCCUCUGAGCAGACCACAGUAAACAAUGACAGCUAAAAGGGCCACAACAGUGUUUUUGUCAAAAAUGCAUUUUAAUUUUAUUUGUUUGUUGCUAGUUUAGUUUAGAGCUUUAUAGAAGGCAGUAAUGGCAGGUGUGUUUGAGUGUCACUUAUAAGUUUCUUUGUUUUAAUGCUUCCUGGAUGUGUUAUCACAUUAAAGACCCUUAUUUAAAUCUCCCUGGUGAAUGUUUUGGGAUGGGAGCGGUGUCCCGUCUGACAGGAACCAGGAGAUGAGUCAAAGGUCUUACACUGAGGGUGGGGCAGUUCUUGUAACGCCUGUUUCAUGCCGUGCAUUUCUCGCUAAAUAAACUUGCCAAAACUUUGCCUCUAUUUGCACGUUGUAUUGGUCAUAAUAUAACUGAGCCUCUGACAGCUUGGUGAACAUACCUGGAAGUCCAGAC